UCAGGAUGAACGCUAGCGGCAGGCCUAACACAUGCAAGUCGAGGGGUAACAGAGAAGCUUGCUUCUGCUGACGACCGGCGCACGGGUGCGUAACGCGUAUGCAACCUACCUCAUACAGGAGAAUAGCCCUUGGAAACGAGGAUUAAUACUCCAUGGUAUCAUUUUUUCGCAUGUUAGAAUGAUUAAAGAAUUUCGGUAUGAGAUGGGCAUGCGUCCCAUUAGCUUGUUGGUGAGGUAACGGCUCACCAAGGCAACGAUGGGUAGGGGGCCUGAGAGGGUGGUCCCCCACACUGGUACUGAGACACGGACCAGACUCCUACGGGAGGCAGCAGUGAGGAAUAUUGGUCAAUGGAGGAAACUCUGAACCAGCCAUGCCGCGUGAAGGAUGACGGCCCUAUGGGUUGUAAACUUCUUUUAUAUGGGAAGAAACUUAUCUACGUGUAGAUAACUGACGGUACCAUACGAAU
rnacentral:rRNA from 1 species